CGACUUCCGAGAUACGUUUCCGACCCGAUUUUUACAUCACGCAAAAGUGAAAUGUAGGGCAUGUUUACUUCCGUUUUCAUCGUAAACGAUGGCGUCAUUAGAUACAGACUGCGAUUACGACUAUAAUUUCAAUUCUUGGCAAGUGCCUAUGCUGAAAGACCUUUUAUCCUUUAAAGGAAUAGCUUUUUCAAUAUAUUAAAAUCAUCAUUUGAUAAGACUUUGUGAACUGGGAGUUGAAAUUCAGAAGUGGCAGAUGAUUAGGCCUACAGGGUGGUGAUGUCAAACUGUUGGAGAUAAAGUUUUCCGAAAUAUAACAAGUGUUGAUAGGUGGUCUGAAGAUCUCAUAAAACUGCCGAACAUUGAGAUUUCCGAUGUUUUCAUAAAACUUUUGAACGAUGGCUGGAGUACGUUAUUCUCGGUUGAAAACAGAGACAAGACAAUGGAUACAGACUAAAACAACCACGUUGAUAAAGUGAAAGUGUCCCCCCUGUCUGAUGAUUUUCAGUACAUCAAGUGUGACACAGUUCCUGAGACUAGCCAGAUGCAGAUCCGUACAAGACCUGGAUAUUUGUUGAGGGCAAUGAACAGAUUCACUCAGGUGGAUGUAGUAGAUGAUGGGUCGUGUAAGCACUGUACAGCUUCGAUAUUUGCUGUGGCUUCAUUCUGUGAGAGGCACAAAGACUGUCACACUCAAGUCGGAACAGAUAUUCCAUGUGUUUGGGACAAUUUUUUAAGCCUCGUGUCAUCUCAUCUUGUAUUGGCCAAUUACAUAAAACUACAGGACUAUACAGGAGAAGAACCUGAAGUUAGCGCUCACCAUUCAAUAAACAACCCAUGCAAGUCCUUGAACAACAACUCUAUUAAAGAAAUUGAAGAAAAAAAAUUGUUUCAACUCCUGUGUUUUUACACAAAAUGUGGAUUUUUCUGUGAGCAAAUACAUUAUGAUCCUUUGAAAUUUGAGGAAAUAGUACAAAAAUGUGAAUAUCUCUUUGACAAACAUUUGAAAGUUGCAAUUAUGUCUCUCUAAGUAUAGCAGAGCAACAAAUUUGUAAAUGAGAUAAGCAUGUAAUGCAUAAUAAUUUAUGGCAUUCUUGAUUAUAACAGUGAGGAAAAACUUAAAACACUUUUGGUCUAAGGUACAGGAUUCAUUAAUAUUCAUAAUUUAUUGAUGGCAGAAUACCUGAACUGAUAAAUAUAAAUUAGGAACAAACAAUAAAAUAUUUCAAUCAUCA